UUCAUCCCUUCACUGCUCCAAGAAUAGCUUGUUUUAUUUGACAUAAACUAUUACUGGAGUCUGAAGUAUUUAAUAGAAUUUCUCACAAACUAUCCACAUUAUUUCGGUCAAUGGCAGUGAGAAUAUGUCAAUGGAUGUUAUCUGUGGAAACACAAAAUCAAGUGGAAAAAAAAUAUAGUGAAGAGGAGGCAAAUAACCAAGAGCCCCUUUCAGCUUGAGGAGGUGGGAGAGAAGCACUGGAAGGAGCCAGUCCUGAGCCAUUAUUUGACCAAAAGGGAAUGCAUCAAAUGAGUCCUGCUAAGGACCAAGAAAUCCAGCUGGAUCCAUUGUCUCCCGAUUGUAGGGGCCUUUGGGGGCAGCCUUAGUCAGGGGAAAUAACUUUGUGUUUUGCUGCUUGGUAAAGUUUGCAUUUCAGGUAAUGAGCUGUGCUUGAGGGCAGGGCAAUAAAGAGCUUGGGUGCGGUACCAAUUUUUUUUUCCAGGCUGGUGAGGGAGCCUUCCAGUUUACAAAAUAUGGGGCCUUAGCAAGGACUGUAUGCUUGUACAAGACUUCCUUCACCUUGCAAUAAAGGCAUGACGCUUUCCAGUAUUUUAAA